UACGUAGGGGGCGAGCGUUGUCCGGAAUCAUUGAGCGUAAAGAGCUCGUAGGCGGUUCAGCAAGUCGGCUGUGAAAUUCCGAGGCUCAACCUCGGAACUGCAGUCGAUACUGCUGUGACUCGAGUCCGGUAGAGGAGAAUGGAAUUCCCGGUGUAGCGGUGAAAUGCGCAGAUAUCGGGAGGAACACCAGUAGCGAAGGCGGUUCUCUGGGCCGGUACUGACGCUGAGGAGCGACAGCGUGGGGAGCAAACAGG
rnacentral:rRNA from 1 species